CCUACGGGGGGCAGCAGUGGGGAAUAUUGCACAAUGGGGGAAACCCUGAUGCAGCGACGCCGCGUGGAGGAAGAAGGUCUUCGGAUUGUAAACUCCUGUUGUUGGGGAAGAUAAUGACGGUACCCAACAAGGAAGUGACGGCUAACUACGUGCCAGCAGCCGCGGUAAAACGUAGGUCACAAGCGUUGUCCGGAAUUACUGGGUGUAAAGGGAGCGCAGGCGGGAAGACAAGUUGGAAGUGAAAUCCAUGGGCUCAACCCAUGAACUGCUUUCAAAACUGUUUUUCUUGAGUAGUGCAGAGGUAGGCGGAAUUCCCCGUGUAGCGGUGAAAUGCGUAGAGAUGGGGAGGAACACCAGUGGCGAAGGCGGCCUGCUGGGCUUUAACUGACGCUGAGGCACGAAAGCGUGGGUAGCAAACAGGAUU
rnacentral:rRNA from 1 species